UAGGGAAUCUUCGGCAAUGGACGAAAGUCUGACCGAGCAACGCCGCGUGAGUGAAGAAGGUUUUCGGAUCGUAAAACUCUGUUGUUAGAGAAGAACAAGGACGUUAGUAACUGAACGUCCCCUGACGGUAACUAACCAGAAAGCCACGGCUAACUACGUGCCAGCAGCCGCGGUAAUACGUAGGUGGCAAGCGUUGGCCGGAUUUAUUGGGCGUAAAGCGAGCGCAGGCGGUGUCUUAAGUCUGAUGUGAAAGCCCCCGGCUCAACCGGGGAGGGUCAUUGGAAACUGGGAGACUUGAGUGCAGAAGAGGAGAGUGGAAUUCCAUGUGUAGCGGUGAAAGGCGUAGAUAUAUGGAGGAACACCAGUGGGGAAGGCGGCUCUCUGGUCUGUAACUGACGCUGAGGCUCGAAAGCGUGGGAAGCAAACAGG
rnacentral:rRNA from 1 species